rnacentral:rRNA from 1 species
GACGAACGCUGGCGGCGUGCCUAAUACAUGCAAGUUGAGCGCUGAAGGUUGGUACUUGUACCGACUGGAUGAGCAGCGAACGGGUGAGUAACGCGUGGGGAAUCUGCCUUUGAGCGGGGGACAACAUUUGGAAACGAAUGCUAAUACCGCAUAAAAACUUUAAACACAAGUUUUAAGUUUGAAAGAUGCAAUUGCAUCACUCAAAGAUGAUCCCGCGUUGUAUUAGCUAGUUGGUGAGGUAAAGGCUCACCAAGGCGAUGAUACAUAGCCGACCUGAGAGGGUGAUCGGCCACAUUGGGACUGAGACACGGCCCAAACUCCUACGGGAGGCAGCAGUAGGGAAUCUUAGGCAAGGGACGAAAGUCUGACCGAGCAACGCCGCGUGAGUGAAGAAGGUUGUCGGAUCGUAAAACUCUGUUGGUAGAGAAGAACGUUGGUGAGAGUGGAAAGCUCAUCAAGUGACGGUAACUACCCAGAAAGGGACGGCUAACUACGUG